GGGUCCUGCAGUACUACAUGAACUAAAGGAGCGGGUUCGAGACAGGCUCUCACCCGAAUGUGAUGAAAAACUAGAGAGUCAACCAUGCGACAGUGUGCAGUAAAUUCAAAUAAGAAUUUCUGUUUAAGUGAUGGUCGCUAUUGAUAAUUCUAUUGGCCUCCUUCAAUCGUAGAACGACUUUGGUUCAUCUCGAACAAUUUUUCAUAUGGCUGUGGAGCCCUUCUUUGUAGAUAAUAGCUUUCAUAAUAAGAAGAGAAUAAAUAUGUUUACUAGAGAUGGACCCUUCGUGGGCCGUAACUCUGUG
rnacentral:sRNA from 1 species